rnacentral:rRNA from 1 species
GAGUAACACGUAUCCAACCUGCCGUCUACUCUUGGACAGCCUUCUGAAAGGAAGAUUAAUACAAGAUGGCAUCAUGAGUCCGCAUGUUCACAUGAUUAAAGGUAUUCCGGUAGACGAUGGGGAUGCGUUCCAUUAGAUAGUAGGCGGGGUAACGGCCCACCUAGUCUUCGAUGGAUAGGGGUUCUGAGAGGAAGGUCCCCCACAUUGGAACUGAGACACGGUCCAAACUCCUACGGGAGGCAGCAGUGAGGAAUAUUGGUCAAUGGGCGAGAGCCUGAACCAGCCAAGUAGCGUGAAGGAUGACUGCCCUAUGGGUUGUAAACUUCUUUUAUAAAGGAAUAAAGUCGGGUAUGGAUACCCGUUUGCAUGUACUUUAUGAAUAAGGAUCGGCUAACUCCGUGCCAGCAGCCGCGGUAAUACGGAGGAUCCGAGCGUUAUCCGGAUUUAUUGGGUUUAAAGGGAGCGUAGAUGGAUGUUUAAGUCAGUUGUGAAAGUUUGCGGCUCAACCGUAAAAUUGCAGUUGAUACUGGAUAUCUUGAGUGCAGUUGAGGCAGGCGGAAUUCGUGGUGUAGCGGUGAAAUGCUUAGAUAUCACGAAGAACUCCGAUUGCGA